AUGACGACACCGGCGGCGGGGGCCCCGGGGUCACCGGUGGCGGCGCCGGAUCAGGUGGCGGCCAGAGACGCCGUGAUCGGGUGGUACCGCGGCGAGUUCGCGGCCGCCAACGCCGUGAUCGACGCGCUCUGCGGCCACCUCGCGCAGAUCGGCGGGGCCGACUACGACGCCGUCUUCGCCGCGCUCCACCGCCGCCGCCUCAACUGGUUCCCCGUCAUCCACAUGCAGAAGUUCUACUCCGUCGCCGACGUCGCCGCCGAGCUCCGCCGCGUCUCCGAGGCCCGCGCCGCCGCGGCCGCCGCCUACUCCGAGGAGGAGGCCGCGUCCACGGUGAUCCACGAGCCCAUGGACGAGCUCGUCGUCACCGUUGCCGCGGAGCCGGACCCCGAGCCCGAGCGCGAGCACGAGCCGAUACCGGAGGCGCAGCCCGACGUCUCCGUCAACCCCGUCGUCGCCGUCCACCCCGUCGCGGCGGACCACGAGCCGGAGGCGGACGGCGAAGAUUCCUCGGGAGAUUCGUCGGAGCGGAAGGCAGCCUCCACGGAAGACGACGCCGCCCACGACGGACCAGAUAACACCGACCAAGGAUCUCAAGGCGGGCACAGCCUACCAGAGAGCUACCCUAUCUGCUCUGACCACGACGAGUGCAUCGCCCGCCCAGAGAGGAUCAAGAUCCAGAAAGGUUUCAUGGCGAAGGAGUCCGUGAAGGGGCACAUGGUUAACGUUGUGAAAGGCCUGAAGAUAUAUGAAGAUGUGUUCACAACAAUGGAGCUCAUGAAGGUUGCUGAUUUCAUCAAUGAAAUUCGCCAGGCUGGUAGAAAUGGGGAGCUUUCAGGUGAGACCUUCAUAUUCUUCAACAAGCAGAUCAAAGGGAAUAAGAGAGAGAUCAUUCAGCUCGGUGUCCCACUAUUUCAACAUACCACAGAGGAAACCAAUUGUCAUAUAGAACCAAUCCCAGUUGUCCUGCAGGCUGUCAUCGACCACCUUGUUCUUUGGCGCUUAAUACCAGAAAGCAGGAAACCAAACAGUGUCAUCAUCAAUUUCUUCGAUGAGGACGAGCACUCGCAGCCCUACUUCAAGCCUCCCCACCUGGACAACCCCAUUUCCACUCUCCUGCUGUCUGAAACCUCAAUGGCAUUUGGAAGGUCACUUGUCACUGACAGCAACGGCAACUACAAGGGACCCCUCACACUCUCACUGAAGCAAGGGUCACUUCUGGUGAUGCGCGGGAACAGCGCGGACAUGGCGCGCCACGUCGUGUGCCCGUCGUCCAACCGCCGCGUGAGCAUCACGUUCGUGAGGGUGAGGCCAUCAACUCCGGUGGACCUCAGCCCGCUCCCGUCGCCCACCAAGGCCAUGACGCUCUGGCAGCCUCCCCCGACUGCGGCAACGGCCGGCAUGCAGAAACCGCCUCACGGCAGCAACGGCGCCAUCAUCGGCUACUGCCCGGCGCCACAGGCCAUGCUCGCCCCGGCUUGGGGCAUGGCCGUGCGCGCGGCACCCGUCAUGAUGGUCGCCGCGCCGGCGAGGCCAAUGGUGAUGGCGCCCUCCAGCAACAUCAACAAGAGGAUGGGGCGCGGCGGCACCGGCGUGUUCCUGCCGUGGACGGUGGGGCCCAAGAGGUACAACAAGCACCUCCCCCCGCGCAUCCAGAAGCGCCGGUUCUCGGCGAUGAUGUCGCCCAUAGAGUCGCAGGGCUGA
rnacentral:rRNA from 1 species